UGAGUAACACGUGGAUAACCUACCUAUAAGACUGGGAUAACUUCGGGAAACCGGAGCUAAUACCGGAUAAUAUUUUGAACCGCAUGGUUCAAAGUGAAAGACGGUCUUGCUGUCACUUAUAGAUGGAUCCGCGCUGCAUUAGCUAGUUGGUAAGGUAACGGCUUACCAAGGCAACGAUGCAUAGCCGACCUGAGAGGGUGAUCGGCCACACUGGAACUGAGACACGGUCCAG
rnacentral:rRNA from 1 species